AGAAUUGGGAAUAACUCCGGGAAACCCGGAAGCUUAUAUCCGGAUAACAAUUUCGAACCGGCAUGGUUCGAAAUUGAAAAGACGGCUUUUAGGCUGUCACUUACAGAUGGACCCGCGGCGCAUUAGCUAGUUGGUGAGGUAACGGCUCACCAAGGCGACGAUGCGUAGCCGACCUGAGAGGGUGAUCGGCCACACUGGGACUGAGACACGGCCCAGACUCCUACGGGAGGCAGCAGUAGGGAAUCUUCCGCAAUGGACGAAAGUCUGACGGAGCAACGCCGCGUGAACGAUGAAGGCCUUCGGGUCGUAAAGUUCUGUUGUUAGGGAAGAACAAGUACCAGAGUAACUGCUGGUACCUUGACGGUACCUAACCAGAAAGCCACGGCUAACUACGUGCCAGCAGCCGCGGUAAUACGUAGGUGGCAAGCGUUGUCCGGAAUUAUUGGGCGUAAAGCGCGCGCAGGCGGUUUCUUAAGUCUGAUGUGAAAGCCCACGGCUCAACCGUGGAGGGUCAUUGGAAACUGGGAAACUUGAGUGCAGAAGAGGAGAGUGGAAUUCCACGUGUAGCGGUGAAAUGCGUAGAGAUGUGGAGGAACACCAGUGGCGAAGGCGACUCUCUGGUCUGUAACUGACGCUGAGGCGCGAAAGCGUGGGGAGCGAACAGGAUUAGAUACCCUGGUAGUCCACGCCGUAAACGAUGAGUGCUAAGUGUUAGAGGGUUUCCGCCCUUUAGUGCUGCAGCAAACGCAUAAGCACUCCG
rnacentral:rRNA from 1 species